CCUACGUGAGGCAGCAGUGGGGAAUAUUGCACAAUGGGGGAAACCCUGAUGCAGCGACGCCGCGUGAGUGAAGAAGUAAUUCGUUAUGUAAAGCUCUAUCAGCAGGGAAGAAAAUGACGGUACCUUAGUAAGAAGCCCCGGCUAACUACGUGCCAGCAGCCGCGGUAAUACGUAGGGGGCAAGCGUUAUCCGGAUUUACUGGGUGUAAAGGGAGCGUAGACGGCAGUGCAAGUCUGGAGUGAAAGGCGGGGGCUCAACCCCCGGACUGCUCUGGAAACUGUACGGCUGGAGUGCAGGAGAGGUAAGUGGAAUGCCUGGUGUAGCGGUGAAAUGCGUAGAGAUUAGGAGGAACACCAGUGGCGAAGGCGGCUUACUGGACUGUAACUGACGUUGAGGCUCGAAAGCGUGGGGAGCAAACAGGAUUAGAUACCCGGGUAGUC
rnacentral:rRNA from 1 species